AAGUUGACGGGGGCCCGCACAAGCGGAGGAACAUGUGGUUUAAUUCGAUGAUACGCGAGGAACCUUACCUGGGCUUAAAUGGGGAGUGACAGCUGGCGAAAGUUGGUUUUCUUCGGACACUCUUCAAGGUGCUGCAUGGUUGUCGUCAGCUCGUGCCGUGAGGUGUCGGGUUAAGUCCCAUAACGAGCGCAACCCUUACUGUUAGUUGCCAGCGGGUCAAGCCGGGAACUCUAACGGGACUGCCACCGUAAGGUGAGAGGAAGGUGGGGAUGACGUCAAAUCAGCACGGCCCUUAUGUCCAGGGCUACACACGUGUUACAAUGGUCGGUACAAAGGGCAGCUACACCGCGAGGUGAUGCUAAUCUCUAAAGCCGGUCUCAGUUCGGAUCGAAGUCUGCAACCCGACUUCGUGAAGUUGGAUUCGCUAGUAAUCGCGCAUCAGCCAUGGCGCGGUGAAUACGUUCCCGGGCCUU
rnacentral:rRNA from 1 species